GGGGAAUAUUGCACAAUGGGGGAAACCCUGAUGCAGCGACGCCGCGUGGAGGAAGAAGGUCUUCGGAUUGUAAACUCCUGUUGUUGAGGAAGAUAAUGACGGUACUCAACAAGGAAGUGACGGCUAACUACGUGCCAGCAGCCGCGGUAAAACGUAGGUCACAAGCGUUGUCCGGAAUUACUGGGUGUAAAGGGAGCGCAGGCGGGAAGACAAGUUGGAAGUGAAAUCUAUGGGCUCAACCCAUAAACUGCUUUCAAAACUGUUUUUCUUGAGUAGUGCAGAGGUAGGCGGAAUUCCCGGUGUAGCGGUGGAAUGCGUAGAUAUCGGGAGGAACACCAGUGGCGAAGGCGGCCUACUGGGCACCAACUGACGCUGAGGCUCGAAAGUGUGGGUAGCAAACAGGAUUAGAUACCCUGGUAGUCCACACCGUAAACGAUGAUUACUAGGUGUUGGAGGAUUGACCCCUUCAGUGCCGCAGUUAACACAAUAAGUAAUCCACCUGGGGAGUACGACCGCAAGGUUGAAACUCAAAGGAAUUGACGGGGGCCCGCACAAGCAGUGGAGUAUGUGGUUUAAUUCGACGCAACGCGAAGAACCUUACCAAGUCUUGACAUCCUGCGACGCACAUAGAAAUAUGUGUUUCCUUCGGGACGCAGAGACAGGUGGUGCAUGGUUGUCGUCAGCUCGUGUCGUGAGAUGUUGGGUUAAGUCCCGCAACGAGCGCAACCCUUACUGUCAGUUACUACGCAAGAGGACUCUGGCAGGACUGCCGUUGACAAAACGGAGGAAGGUGGGG
rnacentral:rRNA from 1 species